rnacentral:lncRNA from 1 species
UUUUUUUCUAACUCUUUAUCCUGGCAUUGCUAACAUCUCACAACUAAAAUAAUCUUAACAGACACUUGAUUAGUUUUUAAAAAUGCAUUUUCAUGACAUGAGACUACAGAAAUUGGCAUUUUCUUAAGACGUAGUUUACAUUUGACUGCUUACUAUGUCCAGGGCAUCCCCAAAUUGGGAGAGAUUGCCAAGUCAGUUGCCAUUUUGCCUGCCUUUUACCAAGGACUAGCCUACAGGUUCAGUUUUGCUCUUGACUCUGGCCCUGAAUUGAGAACUGAGUGGAAGUAUGGAGACAAAGCCAGCAGCUUUACUCAAAAAAUAUAUAUGAGUCUAGUAUUUUUUUGUUUUUGAAAGACAUGUUACUGAGACCGACCCAGUCAGGGGUCACUGAAGAUUGGGUUAAAUAAAACAAUAAUGUUAUUCAUGUGUUUGAAAUUAAUAUUUUAAAGACCCCCACACACACUUUAAAAUGUAACUCGAUUUGCUGUAUAGGCCAGAGAAAUAUGGCUGUUACGAUGAAGGCAUAACUUGUCUGGUUCUUGAUUAUUUACACCAUUAGAGAAGAAUGCAAAUAUGAAUAGCUCAGAGUAGUUUAACUUUGUAGUUUUCUACUUUUUCUCAUGUCCAGUGUUCAGUUUCUUAUAAACCAGGCAUGAAGAGAAACAAAAAAUAAUUCUCCAGAUCAUGAGGUUGUCUUCAUCCUAAGCACAGAGGUAUAAUAAUUACAUUUCUCAGAAGUUCCCCUUCUGUUUAGAGUCUCAAGGGCAAUUGAGAUGUCAGUGAGGCUGUGAUUAAAUGUAUUGGAUAUUGGAGGAUUUUAAAUACAAACAAGUAUUACAGGUGUUACCACUGACACCUGAAGGUAAGAUUUACUAUGAAAAUUUAUAAUGCAAGGAAGAAUGAUCAUUUUCAAAAUAUACACUUUGCAACUUAAGUUGGCUGUCACAACAACAAAAUACUACAAACCAGGAUGUCUAAGAGCAGAAGUCUGUGGUUGCCAACUCUCAAGCCUCUUAGCUUAAUCCAAUCUAGGAUGCAUUUCCACUCUGCAACAAACAGUAUUUUUGCCUUAUUUGCAGAUAACAGUUUUAAUGCAGGUACUGCCCACAGAUUAGCUUUGAGCAGUGUCUUUUUGCUUUGGUUUUUUGAUUUGUUUGGUUUGUUUUGAGACUGAGUCUCACUCUGUCGCCCAGGCUGGAGUGCAGCCUUCAUGGCUGUAGUGCACAGUGACUGUACUUGUGAAUAGCCACUACACUCCAGCCUGGGCAACAUAGCAAGACUCCCACCCCUUAAGAAAAAAAGAGAAGAGAGAAAAAAAUAGAAGUUAUGGAGAGGGAGGCGGAUACUUGAAUACUUUGACCAUACUUGGCAUAAUAGACAUUUUGAGGGCUUUUUGUUUUUCCUUAAAAUUCUUCUGAAUCAGUUUUCAUUGUUUCUAGUCAUUAUAUUUAUCAUUAAUGAAUUCAUAUUUUGCUCUAGCCCCUAAAGAUAGUUUGAUACGCUAACUUUUGUUUUGCCUUUCUAGCUGCUAAGAUAGAUAAUGGUUAUUGCAAAAUGCACGUUUUUAAAUGGUCUCCAGUGUGGAUUGCUUCUGAGCUGCUGAUGGAUUGAAUACAUUGAGAAGGAAUGUGUCAUUUGGAAUCCAGGACCAGUCAGCAAGGAUAACUGCCUGAUUUUAUGAUUUCGUGACUGAUGCUGAAAUGGAAGCCAACCACUGCAGAAAUUUGGGGGAAAAUGAGAUCUGAAGAAUGCAAGGGGAAGUAGGAAUUCAUUUCUAGCAUUUCCAAACCUGCUUUAUCGUGUCUGCUCCACCACAGUCAGAGGAAAAGACUGAGUUCAUGGAAAUUACCAGCUAAGCCUUACAUCUGUCUUUAAUGUUUUUAGGAAAUAUACUGAAAAGGUAAGUGAGAUGUCUGUUUUAAAGAAAGGCUCUUACUAGGUACCUUAAAACCAGUUGUUUCCUAUUAGUAAAGAUGGGCAGCUUCUUUAUUCCUAGCUUCACAAAGGCUUUCCCCUGUUCUGUGUGUUUCUCAGUAUUGUGGAGAAGGUAGUUUCUGAGCAGGGUGGUGCUUUUCCUCUGCUUCUCAGCAGCUAAGACAGAAAUUGCACUGAAGUGUACAAAAUGCCAAUUUUUGUUCUGUUGUACUCAAAUCCUUUUUUUAAAAAAAUUAUUUCAGUUGAGUCUUAGUUUUAUUCCUCACUAUAUAGGAAAAAAAUAUUUAAUGCCUCAAAGUUCUAGUCAGCAUUACAUUUGCAUUACUCUUAUUUGCAGCAAAUAUGAGUAAAAUUAUAGGUUUUUAAAGGUCUCUAAUAACAUCCACCUAUAUUGGUUUUGUAGAUAAUCCAUAAAUUACCAGAAAUGAAUUAUUCUACAUUUAUUAUACACCCACGUAAUAGGUAUAGUGCCAGGCCCUGGAAUAUACUAUUGGCAUCAUCUCAUGUGAUAAAAAGACACAUUCCGCCAUCCUGGAGCAUACAAAGGUAGACUAGCAUGUAGUUCAUGUGCUUAAGGAGUUCGUUUUUAUUGACGUGAUACAGACAGAAUUGCAGUUUAGGGAGUCAAAAUCUAAUAAAAUGAGACUAAUUCCAUUUUUCCUUUAAUACUAAUAACUAAUGUGUAAAUCUGAAUAGGACACAUUCUAUAUGAAAACUCUGUGUGUGCAUCUGCACUAAAUACUUUGUGUGUGCCAAGUACUGUUUUAAACUCUACAUAUAUUUUUUUAAUCCUCAGAACUGUUCUCUGAAAUAGGUACUAAUACUAAAGCUUAUUGUUUAAGGAAGGCAGAAAUUAAGUAACUUGGCCUAAGUUUGCAUAAUUAUGAUCUGGGAUCAAUAUUUGAACCCAUACAGGCUGAUUGCAGAGCCUGCACUCUUAAUUUGAGUGUGAUAUUUAUGUGCAGUACCUGGCUAUAAGUACCCACAAAACAUUUCAAAUUCUUUAUAAAAUUUGCUUAGUUAAAAAAAAGUACCAAUUGCAUAGUAUAGUUAUAAGUCUGGUAGUAGUUAGGCUUUUUACGAGACAUGCCGCUUACUGCACCAAGGAGGCAACAAGGCUUUGAGAGCCCAAAAUUCCCUUUCUUCAGCUCCUGCUUCCAAGACAGUCAUUUUGCAUGAUAACCCUUUCCCCAAAAACACAGACACAAAAUUUAAAGAACUGGAACAGAGGAAGCAGAGCUUAUAGUAGUAUAUAUAUUUAGUACCCUGUCCCUUAGGUCCACCCCUCUUUCUUUAUUGAUUGUGGACAUUUUGUUUUAAAUGCUAAAUCAUGAGAAUAUAUGACUGCUGAGACUUUUCCAAGGAUUUUUAAAAAAACAGAUUAGGCUUUGUGCAGAAGUAAAGAAAAAGUGCUCUGAGAACCCCAGGUAGGUAAUUUACUUCCUAUUGUACAAUAGUUUGUUUGAAACCUCUUCACCUCUAUCCCUUAUUGUUUUAUACUCUGUAAAUCUGAUUUUACCUUUAAUAAACUUUUCU